AGCAGCCGCGGUAAUUCCAGCUCCAAUAGCGUAUAUUAAAGUUGCUGCAGUUAAAAAGCUCGUAGUUGAAUUUCGGGACCAUCAUGUCGGUCGUGCCUCGGUACGUACUGGUAUUGUUGGUUUCUCCCUUCUGACGAACCAUGAUGUCAUUUAUUUGGUGUCGUGGGGAAUCAGGACUGUUACUUUGAAAAAUUAGAGUGUUUAAAGCAGGCUCACGCUUGAAUACAUUAGCAUGGAAUAAUGAAAUAGGACGUUUGAUUCUAUUUUGUUGGUUUCUAGGAUCGACGUAAUGAUUAAUAGGGAUAGUUGGGGGCAUUAGUAUUCAAUUGUCAGAGGUGAAAUUCUUGGAUUUAUUGAAGACUAAUUACUGCGAAAGCAUUUGCCAAGGAUGUUUUCAUUAAUCAAGAACGAAAGUUAGGGGAUCGAAGACGAUCAGAUACCGUCGUAGUCUUAACCAUAAACUAUGCCGACUAGGGAUCGGAUGAUGUUAAUUUUUUAAUGUACUCAUUCGGCGCCUUAC
rnacentral:rRNA from 1 species